CGAAUCAGCUUUAGGCUUGGCAUUUGUACUAUCUUUUGCUCUCUAGGGUUUAGAAACUACAUUUCUAAGCUAGAUCUACUAUUCUUUUGCAAAAAAAUAUGGAAGUUCAAUCCCUGAAUCAAGACCUUGAAUGAUUGGAGCCCCCAAAACACAAUAUGUUGAACAAUUGUAAAAUAUGAUUUUGAUUUUGCCUUUUUUGUUUUUAUUUUUAUUUUUUCUAAUUCCUUCUUCUUCUUCUUCUUCUUCUUCUUCUUCUUCUUCUUCUUGUCUUUUUUGCUUUGAUUAGAGCCUAAAAUCAAAAUUUCAAAUGAUUGGAGCCUCUAAAACACAAUCGACUUGAUUGUGAUAAAGUCGAAAUUUUUUUCUCUCUAUUUUAUGUUUUUUCCACAUUAAUUCGAUCUUGAUUUAUGUAAGCGAUUAUUGAUUUUAGAGCAUUCAAAACAUGAUCUACUCAAUUGAGGUAAAGUAUCGCUCUUUCUCUCUCUCUAUCCCCCCCACCCAACUUUAUGUUUUUUAUAUUUUUUCUAUCAUUUCCUCUUAAUUAAUACAACUUUUUUACUUUGAUCAGAGCUUGAAAUGAAGGCUUCAAACGAAUGGUACCUAAGAAACACAAUCUACUUGAUUAUGGUUUUUAAGCAAGAUAAAUUAAUAUAUAGAUCAAGAAUCUAUUUGGAUACAUGAACAAUGAACAUGAAGACCGUCCAAGACCUUUGCCAGACAUUGAUAACUUAAAGGGUGAAACUGAUAUAACUGAAAGGAAGGCAAUUCCUUCUUGGGAUUAUGAUGUGAGAAAAUCAUAUUUUUAGUUUCAACUAAAACUUGUCAUCUCUCUUUGUGGUUUGACUGCUGCUUUUGGGGCAUCCUCAUUUCUUAUAACAUAAGAGAAGAAACAAAGAUUAUUAAUAUAUUAUGUAUUGGGUAUUGCCUCUCUACGAAAUAUGAUUGGAGGCUUAAUUCUACUUCUUUCAAUUUCUCUGUCUAGAAUAUUUUCGUCCAAGAUGUUUAGGUUGAACGCCUUUGAAGUUAGAGUUUGCUAAGGCAUUCAAGUUUUGUUUCUCAUGAAAAGAAAUGUUGCUGGACAUGGAAGAGAACUCCACCACGUAGUAGGAGACAAGUGGAUGGUGGAAAUUCAAGGAAAAGAAAGCGAACAAAGCCUGAAUAUAUAGCUCAAGACAAGCUUCUAAAAGGUUUAGUUUUGUAUCUAACUUUCCAUUUUGCAAAAUGAUCUUCUACAUAUUUUCUUGUUUUUGUUUCAUAUCGAAUCAUUACAUAAAUCCAGCUUCCCCAUCAUGACUUUUCAUUUUACUAAAAUUGUUUCCAAACAUGGUAUGUUUCUAAGGUUUUUGUCACUUCUAAUUGUUCCCACUUCUAAUUGUUCAAAUAUGUAGAGUUCAACUAUCAUAUCUGCAGAAAGGCGAUGACUCUCCCACUUACUACCCCAUGUACUCAUAACUUCAGUAAGGGUUGUCUGGAGGGUGUCUUUGCUAGUCAAACUUUCAUGAGGCAAAGAACAUGCAAAGGUAGGAGGACGUUACGAGCACAAAAUAAUAUCAUGAAAUGCCCAUCUUUCUCAAAUGUUAUAUCAGACCUUCUAAAAAAUCCACAGGUAUAUUUGGAAAUUCUGUUAAAACUUCAAUUUCAAAAAGGGAAAGCAUGGAUGGUCUUGUCUUUAAGAGACUAAUCAUAACUAUUGUGAAAUAUUCUUGAGGGGCUAUCUCUAUGGAAGAUUUUUUAUGAGCUUGAUUUAUUAAGUUUUAGGUUAUGUCUACUAACCACUUGUAAUGUUUCUAUUAGGAUUCACACUGUAAUUUGAUCAGUGCAUUUGCAUUAUGAUUUUUAAAUAUAUAAAACACACCAACACGCUACAACUUAACUGAUUGAUAAUGUAAUAUCUUAUUUGUCCUUGAUCUCUCUUUUAACACAGACAAUUUUUUGCUAGAAUGUUAAAACAAUUGAAAUAGUAAAUGUUGCUAGUUUCCCUUGAAGAUAGUUGUGCUCCCUUGAUAGGUUAACAGAGAAUUGAUGGGUGUAAUUGAAUUGCUUCAGAGGAGGGAUGAAGUGGCACAGGAAAUGGCCGAGUCAUCAAGUGAUGAAGUUGAUAGCAUGGAGGAGAGCUCAUAUGAAAUUGUGGGAGAGGCAUAAACAUUCUAUCUUAAUUUUGGGUGUUUGUAGGAUGUCAAAGGGGUCUAUCCACAUCCUCCAACUAUAAUCAAAGCUCCAUAAACUCAAAGAAAAAAAGAGCAAGGUGAUUGCUUGCCAAACCUCGGGGUAGGCGGUGCUCAAAGAAGAUAAAAAUGCUGAAAUGAAAUUGAAGUACUUUCUUGUUAUACCU